GACGAACGCUGGCGGCGUGCUUAACACAUGCAAGUCGAACGGAAAGGCCCUGCUUGCAGGGUACUCGAGUGUCGAACGGGUGAGUAACACGUGGGUGAUCUGCCCUGCACUUCGGGGUAAGCCUGGGGAAAUGGGUCUAAUAUCGGAGAGGAGCCAUUUUUAGUGUGAGUGUGGGAAGGUUUUUUCGGUGUAGGAUGAGCUCGCGGCCUAUCAGCUUGUUGGUGGGGUAAUGGCCUACCAAGGCGGCGACGGGUAGACGGCCCGAGAGGGUGGACGGCCACAUUGGGGCUGAGAGACGGGCCAGACUCCCACGGGAGGCAGAAGUGGGGAAUAUUGCACAAUGGGCGCAAGCCCGAUGUAGAGACGCCGCGUGGGGGAUGACGGCCUUUGGGUUGUAAAAUCCUUUCGCUAGGGACGAAGCUUUUUGUGAAGGUAACUAGAUAAGAAGCACCGGCUAAAUAAGUG
rnacentral:rRNA from 1 species